rfam:Gossypium raimondii Chr09_contig_1782, whole genome shotgun sequence.
UGUUAAAAAUUUCAUCAAUUUGUAUUGUUAAAAACUAGUGUGGCUAACGGAAUAAUCAAGUAGUGACAUGUGACGUGCCACGUGUACCCUCAUGCUGAUGUACACAGAUCACUUUUUAAUAAUAGAAAUGGAAGAAAUUUUUAACA